rnacentral:rRNA from 1 species
AACCUCCGCAAUGUGAGAAAUCGCGACGGGGGGAUCCCAAGUGCCAUUCUUAACGGGAUGGCUUUUCAUUAGUGUAAAGAGCUUUUGGAAUAAGAGCUGGGCAAGACCGGUGCCAGCCGCCGCGGUAACACCGGCAGCUCUAGUGGUAACAAUUUUUAUUGGGCCUAAAGCGUCCGUAGCCGGUUUAAUAAGUCUCUGGUGAAAUCCUGUAGCUUAACUGUGGGAAUUGCUGGAGAUACUAUUAGACUUGAGACCGGGAGAGGUUAGAGGUACUCCCAGGGUAGAGGUGAAAUUCUGUAAUCCUGGGAGGACCGCCUGUUGCGAAGGCGUCUAACUGGAACGGUUCUGACGGUGAGGGACGAAAGUUAGGGCGCGAACCGGAUUAGAUACCCGGGUAGUCCUAACUGUAAACGAUGCGGACUUGGUGUUGGGGUGGCUUUGAGCUGCUCCAGUGCCGAAGGGAAGCUGUUAAGUCCGCCGCCUGGGAAGUACGGUCGCAAGACUGAAACUUAAAGGAAGU